rnacentral:rRNA from 1 species
AACAAACGCUGGCGGCGUGCCUAAUACAUGCAAGUCGAACGGGGAAAGUAGCAAUAUGAGUACUAGUGGCGCACGGGUGAGUAACGCGUGGAUAAUCUGCCUUGAAGAGGGGGAUAACUAGUCGAAAGAUUAGCUAAUACCGCAUAAGACCACAAGAACUGAGGUUCAAGGGGUCAAAGGUUUUUCGCUUCAAGAUGAGUCCGCGUAAGAUUAGCUAGUUGGUGAGGUAAUGGCUCACCAAGGCAACGAUCUUUAACUGGUCUGAGAGGAUGAUCAGUCACACUGGAACUGAGACACGGUCCAGACUCCUACGGGAGGCAGCAGUAGGGAAUAUUGCACAAUGGAGGAAACUCUGAUGCAGCGACGCCGCGUGAGUGAUGAAGGCCUUCGGGUCGUAAAGCUCUGUCGCAGGGGAAUAACACAAUGAAUGUACCCUGUAAGAAAGGAUCGGCUAACUUCGUA